GAUGAACGCUGGCGGCGUGCCUAAUACAUGCAAGUCGAGCGAACGGACGAGAAGCUUGCUUCUCUGAUGUUAGCGGCGGACGGGUGAGUAACACGUGGAUAACCUACCUAUAAGACUGGGAUAACUUCGGGAAACCGGAGCUAAUACCGGAUAAUAUUUUGAACCGCAUGGUUCAAAAGUGAAAGACGGUCUUGCUGUCACUUAUAGAUGGAUCCGCGCUGCAUUAGCUAGUUGGUAAGGUAACGGCUUACCAAGGCAACGAUGCAUAGCCGACCUGAGAGGGUGAUCGGCCACACUGGAACUGAGACACGGUCCAGACUCCUACGGGAGGCAGCAGUAGGGAAUCUUCCGCAAUGGGCGAAAGCCUGACGGAGCAACGCCGCGUGAGUGAUGAAGGUCUUCGGAUCGUAAAACUCUGUUAUUAGGGAAGAACAUAUGUGUAAGUAACUGUGCACAUCUUGACGGUACCUAAUCAGAAAGCCACGGCUAACUACGUGCCACCAGCCGCGGUAAUACGUAGGUGGCAAGCGUUAUCCGGAAUUAUUGGGCGUAAAGCGCGCGUAGGCGGUUUUUUAAGUCUGAUGUGAAAGCCCACGGCUCAACCGUGGAGGGUCAUUGGAAACUGGAAAACUUGAGUGCAGAAGAGGAAAGUGGAAUUCCAUGUGUAGCGGUGAAAUGCUCAGAGAUAUGGAGGAACACCAGUGGCGAAGGCGACUUUCUGGUCUGUAACUGACGCUGAUGUGCGAAAGCGUGGGGAUCAAACAGGAUUAGAUACCCUGGUAGUCCACGCCGUAAACGAUGAGUGCUAAGUGUUAGGGGGUUUCCGCCCCUUAGUGCUGCAGCUAACGCAUUAAGCACUCCGCCUGGGGAGUACGACCGCAAGGUUGAAACUCAAAGGAAUUGACGGGGACCCGCACAAGCGGUGGAGCAUGUGGUUUAAUUCGAAGCAACGCGAAGAACCUUACCAAAUCUUGACAUCCUUUGACAACUCUAGAGAUAGAGCCUUCCCCUUCGGGGGACAAAGUGACAGGUGGUGCAUGGUUGUCGUCAGCUCGUGUCGUGAGAUGUUGGGUUAAGUCCCGCAACGAGCGCAACCCUUAAGCUUAGUUGCCAUCAUUAAGUUGGGCACUCUAAGUUGACUGCCGGUGACAAACCGGAGGAAGGUGGGGAUGACGUCAAAUCAUCAUGCCCCUUAUGAUUUGGGCUACACACGUGCUACAAUGGACAAUACAAAGGGCAGCGAAACCGCGAGGUCAAGCAAAUCCCAUAAAGUUGUUCUCAGUUCGGAUUGUAGUCUGCAACUCGACUACACGAAGCUGGAAUCGCUAGUAAUCGUAGAUCAGCAUGCUACGGUGAAUACGUUCCCGGGUCU
rnacentral:rRNA from 1 species